GCAAAGGCUGCAGGCUCUUUACCAUCUGUUGGCAGAUGGCAAAGAGACCAAAUAGGCAUUAAUUAUGUUUCUUCUUAUAUCAAUUCAUUUUCACAGAAAAUCAAACACAGAUAUAUAUAUAUAUAUAUCCAUGAACACAUAUCCAACACAUGUUACCAAUAGCCAUGAACACAUAUCCAACACAUGUUACCAAUAGUCAUGAACACAUAUAUAUCCAACACAUAUCCAUGAACACAUAUCCAACACAUAUUACAAGGAGCCAAAGGAGAGAACCAAUACCAAAGAGCCAAAGGAGAGAACCAGCACCACACUUGCACCUGGUAUUUUUCUGCAAUUAGGGCACUGCACCCACAAGCACAGGGGGCUAGUACCAUUAUAAACUGCUAAAAAAAUCACUGACGCCUCUUCACGCACAAAAAAUCCAGCUACUUGUGAGCCUAGCCUAAUUAAAUGGCCAUCUCUUUUACUUCCAUGAUAGUGGCUGAAAUGUCAGAUAUACAAGAAAGGAAAUCAUUUACUUGUGAAUAUUCUAAAUGAAGAGCAGAACCUAGAAUAUUUUGCCUUUGCUAAAAUAAAUAAAUUGAGAAUGAAGAUAAUAGUUUCAAGUGACAACUCACCAUUUCCCUUUGGUAGCACGCCAAGGAAGCUCUCUCUUGACUGUGACCCCCCGAUCAUAUUCAGUUCCGCUCCCUGCAAGCACAAGAAUUUUCUUUCUAUUCCAUUUUGCACCAUAUC
rnacentral:lncRNA from 1 species